rnacentral:misc_RNA from 1 species
GAUGAAGAACGUAGCGAAAUGCGACAAGUAAUGUGAAUUGCAGAAUUCCGUGAAUCAUCGAAUCUUUGAACGCACAUUGCGCCCUCUGGUAUUCCGGGGGCAUGCCUGUUCGAGCGUCAUUAUAACCACUCAAGCUCUCGCUUGGUAUUGGGGUUCGCGGUUCCGCGGCCCCUAAAAUCAGUGGCGGUGCCUGUCGGCUCUACGCGUAGUAAUACUCCUCGCGAUUGAGUCCGGUAGGUCUACUUGCCAGCAACCCCCAAUUUUUACAGGUUGACCUCGGAUCAGGUAGGGAUACCCGCUGAACUUAAGCAUAUCAAUAAGCGGAGGA